rnacentral:tRNA from 1 species
GGCCAAUUAGCUCAGUGGGUUGAGCGUGGUGCUGAUAACACCAAGGUCACGGGUUUGAUCGCCGUUCAGUCCC